UACGAGGGGGGCAAGCGUUGUUCGGAAUUAUUGGGCGUAAAGGGCGCGUAGGCGGUUUGGCAAGUCUAGUGUGAAAUCUUCGGGCUCAACUCGAAGUCUGCACUGGAAACUGCCGGGCUUGAGUAUGGGAGAGGUGAGUGGAAUUUCCGGUGUAGCGGUGAAAUGCGUAGAUAUCGGAAGGAACACCUGUGGCGAAAGCGGCUCACUGGACCAUAACUGACGCUGAGGCGCGAAAGCGUGGGGAGCGAACAGG
rnacentral:rRNA from 1 species